UACGUAGGGUGCAAGCGUUGUCCGGAAUUAUUGGGCGUAAAGAGCUCUAGAGCGGUUCGUCGCGUCGGCUGUGAAAACCCGGAGCUCAACUCCGGGCCUGCAGUCGAUACGGGCGGACUUGAGUGUUGCAGGGGAGACUGGAAUUCCUGGUGUAGCGGUGAAAUGCGCAGAUAUCAGGAGGAACACCGGUGGCGAAGGCGGGUCUCUGGGCAACUACUGACGCUGAGGAGCGAAAGCGUGGGGAGCGAACAGG
rnacentral:rRNA from 1 species